rnacentral:rRNA from 3 species
UGAGGAAUAUUGGUCAAUGGGCGAGAGCCUGAACCAGCCAAAUCGCGUGAAGGAUGAAGGUAUUAUGUAUUGUAAACUUCUUUUACAGGGGAAUAAAGUGCGGGACGUGUCCCGUUUUGUAUGUACCCUGAGAAUAAGGAUCGGCUAACUCCGUGCCAGCAGCCGCGGUAAUACGGAGGAUCCAAGCGUUAUCCGGAUUUAUUGGGUUUAAAGGGUGCGUAGGCGGGGAAUCAAGUCAGCGGUGAAAGUUUGCGGCUCAACCGUAAAAUUGCCGUUGAAACUGGUUCUCUUGAGUGUAGAUGAGGUGGGUGGAAUUCGUGGUGUAGCGGUGAAAUGCUUAGAUAUCACGAAGAACUCCAAUUGCGUAGGCAGCUCACUGGGCUACAACUGACGCUGAGGCACGAAGGUGCGGGGAUCAAACAGG